UCAUUUUACAAUCGACAAAUAUUAUAGUAUUGCAAAAUGUUAAAACCAUUUAUUGAACAAACAUUGGUAUAAAAACCUCGCCACGCGCAUGCGCACGAAUUAUCAUCUAGUAUUCUCUUAUAUCUAAAGCUCUGUUUCGGUAAUAUGAACUGUAGUGUUGUAUAAUAGGUGGUAGAUUUGGAAGUUCUUUGACUUUACCAAUAAUGCAAAUAUAAUAUAGUUACAACAAUAUCAUUAUGUGAAACAACACUUGAUUGAAAACUAACAAAAAGGACAUAGUUAAUUGGCAACAGAAUAAUAGUUAUGCCUCUCUCCCAAACCAUUUGAUACAACAAGCUACAAGAGCCAAGAUGCUGAAGACCGCCACAAAGAAAAAGACGAUGACUAAGGAAACUGUAUCCAUUUUCCUCUUUUUCUUUGUUCACCAAACUUUUCAGUAUUUUUAAGUUUUCUUCUCUUCUUCUUUU
rnacentral:lncRNA from 1 species